rnacentral:misc_RNA from 1 species
CUUCUGAAAACGGUUGUUGGU